CAAACGACUCUCGACAACGGAUAUCUUGGCCCACGCAUCGAUGAAGAACGUAGCAAAAUGCGAUACUUGGUGUGAAUUGCAGAAUCCCGUGAACCAUCGAGUUUUUGAACGCAAGUUGCGUCCGAAGCCUUUUGGUCGAGGACACGUCUGCCUGGGCGUCACAU
rnacentral:rRNA from 3 species